AUUGAACGCUGGCGGCAGGCCUAACACAUGCAAGUCGAGCGGAGCGGCGACGGGGUAGUUAAUGCCUAGGAAUCUGCAUGGUGGUGGGGGAUACCGUCCGGAACCGGCCGCUAAUCCCCCAUCCUCUCAGAUAAGCCUGGGCCGGAUUAGCUAGUUGGUGGGGUAAAGGCCUACCAAGGCGACGAUCCGUAACUGGUCUGAGAGGAUGAUCAGUCACACUGGAACUGAGACACGGUCCAGACUCCUACGGGAGGCAGCAGUGGGGAAUAUUGGACAAUGGGCGAAAGCCUGAUCCAGCCAUGCCGCGUGUGUGAAGAAGGUCUUCGGAUUGUAAAGCACUUUAAGUUGGGAGGCGUUACCAACAGAAUAAGCACCGGCUAACUUCGUGCCAGCAGCCGCGGUAAUUC
rnacentral:rRNA from 1 species